rnacentral:rRNA from 2 species
GGGUGCGAUCAUACCAGCACUAAUGCACCGGAUCCCAUCAGAACUCCGCAGGUAAGCGUGCUUGGGCGAGAGUAAUACUGGGAUGGGUUACCUACCGAGAAGACCCCUUAUUGCACCCC